AUUGCUUUUCGGCCUUUUGGCUAAGAUCAAGUGUAGUGUCUGUUCUUAUCAGUUCAAAAAUAAAUAUUAAAAAAAAAAUUUUUUAACUGGUCUGACAAAUGGUAAAUCAGGUUUUUGACUUUCUCACAUAAUAUUAGACAUUAG
ensembl:snRNA U2 U2 spliceosomal RNA